rnacentral:lncRNA from 1 species
GUAAACUUCUCUCUCCAUGCCCCCAGUACUCCCAGAUGUGUUUUCUAUCUUUCCCCACCAUCUCUUUCCAUUCCUUAGUAUGGAAUUAGUAUGAGCUCUCUUCUAACAUGAAAUAAUACUUUUUAUUUACAAAGAGAGUGAGCAAAUACAGGGUUUAAUCAGCAGGUAGAACAGAGUAAAUCUGGGGACAAUCACACUUUAAUAAUUUUUCUGACCACUUAAUUGUAUAAUUCAUUAUUUGUCUUAUUAUUUAAACUGAAUCACAAUAGCCUGCUUUUAUGUAGUUCUUUGUCAAUUCCAAAGUGUUUUAUAGCCAUAACUCCUUUAAUGCUCACCACAAGAUAAGUAUUUUGAUUAGCACCCAUUUUGCAGAUGAGGAAACUGGGACCAAGAGAAAUGAAAUGAAAUGAAAUUUUCCAGAGUCACAGAGCUGAAAAAGAGAACCUGGAUUCCAAGCCAGGUUCUAUGGCUCCAAGGGAAGGGAUGCCCCAUUAUCCCUGCACUGAACCUCCUUCAGAUUUGUCCUGCUUUUUAGGGGACCUGGGAAUUCUGUCAAUGGGUUUGUAGCAAAUGUCUGGUGAGGCUGCAGAGCUGGGACUGGGAUAACACAAGGGAGGUGCCUAGGACGCUCUCUAUUUCUCUCUCUCUCUCUCUCUCUCUCUCUCUCUCUCUCUCUAUACUUACCUUUGCAGCCCAUCCGCUAUGUUGUGAGUAAGCCAAGUCCACUUGGAGAAACCAUAUGUAGGCACUCCAGCCAAUUGCCGCAGCUAAGGUUUCUGCCAACAGUCAGCCUCAACCUCCAGUCAUGGUCAGAAGGUCUUGGAAAAUGUUGAUGCUGAUUUGCUGCCUUGGACACCAGGAAGCGGUGGUGCACGGAAGGGCUUGAAGACGCGGGUGCUCCUUCAUCGCUGGUCGGUAGAGUCCUUCACCCUUGGUCUGGAGGUCAGGCUGUGGUUGCUGCGGUGCAUUCUCUCAGCUGGGAGACCAUCCCUGCAUGCGCUGUGAGAGGAGACAUGAGGCCUGCAGACCUGCUAGAAGCUGGGGGGAACACCGCCGGGUCCACUGUCGGACAAAGUAUUUGACUUUCAAGUGAAAACCAAACCUAGGGCACAAAGGAGAAAGUAUAGAUGUCAGGUACUGACAGGGCUGUAUUUAAACCUCAUCUUUGGUUCUUUCUAAUUCUGUGACUUUAACACAAGCUGCUGCGCCUUUGUUUUCUCAUCUGCAAACUGGGGACAGUAAUGGUUGUCGUAGGAUCUCAGAAAGACGAUGGAUGUAUAAAAAGAUGUUGAGAGACAUCUUUCCGUAUCUCAGGAAUUGGAAUCAAUACUCAGCCACUCAGUAAAUACUGAAUACCUGCUAUGCACCAGGCACUGGUUCAGGCUUGUGGGAUAUACCAGUGCUAUAGAUGGAAUGUUUGUGCCCAAGAUUCAUAUGUUGAAACCUAAUCCCCAACAUGAUAGUAUUUGGAGAUGAGGCUUUUGGGAGGUGAUAAGUCAUGAGGGUGGAGCCCUCGAAUGGGAUUAUUGCCCUUAUAAAAGAAUCUCCCGAGAGACCCUCACUCUUUCUACCAUGUGAAGACACGAAAAGAUGGUUAUCUAUGGACCAGGAGACAGACCCUCACUAGACACUGAACCUUGCCAGUGCCUUCAUCUUGGACUUCCCAGCCUCCAGAACCAUGAGCAAUAAAUGUCUGCUGCUUAAGCAACCCAGCCUAUGGUAUUCUGUUAUAGCAGCCUGCAUAGACUAAGACAAUCAGUGAACAAAACAAAGAAAGCACCUCCUCUCAAGGGGCUUCUAUUUUGGCAGUGGAGACAAAAAAUAAACAACAAACAUAAUGAUGUAAAUUAUAUAGUGUGUUAGCAGGUGAUAAAUGUUAUGAAAAAAAGAUAAAAGAGUAGGGCAGGGCAUAGGCACUUGGGAGUGCCACAGUCAGAGAGCAGUUUGCAAUAUUAAAUAGAGUGAUCAGGGCAGACUCAUGGAGAAGGGGAGCUCUGAGCAAAUGCUUCGGAAAUCAAGAAUAUGUCUGUUGAAUAAAGAGUUGUUUGACCCUGGGCAAGUCACAUACAGCCACUGAGCCUCAGUUUCCUCAACUGUAGUUAACAAAAGCUGCUUCUCGGGAUUGUUGUGAGUUUUACAGGAAAUCAGAUUUGUAAUAGCGUAGAGCUUUGCAUCUAGUGGAUGCUCAGUACAUGCGUAUUAUGAGGGGAACAAUAGUGGUUUUUCUUUUUGGUAAAGAAUUGCUCAUUAAAUUAAUUUACAUGGUAAAUUAGGGGACCCACCCCUGAUACCUCGUGGGUUAGCCUCUGAAGCUCAGUCAAUGUGUACCACAGAAAUCACCCCAGUAGCACCAAGAACCUCCAUGAAAUGUCAGAUACUGGGGACCCCAGAGACUUUUCCAGACAUUACCCCCAAAUCAGAAGACUACUUUGAUUCCAGGUGUGUGUGUGUUGCUAUUGUUGUUGGGCUGAGAAAGUGGAUUGGGAGUGUUGCUAGCUCAAAUAAAUGUGCUUCUUAUAAGAGCUUUUGGCGCGAUCUCGACUCACUGCAAGCUCCGCCUCCCGGGCUCACGCCAUUCUCCUGCCUCAGCCUCCCGUGUAGCUGGGACUAUAGGCACGCGCCACCAUGCCCGGCUAAUUUUUGUAUUUUUUUAGUAGAGACGGGGUUUCACCGUGUUAGCCAGGAUGGUCUCGAUCUCCUGACCUCGUGAUCCGCCCGUCUCGGCCUCCCAAAGUGCUGGGAUUACAGGCGUGAGCCACCGCGCCCGGCCGAGCUUUUGGUUUUCUGUCCCCCACUCCCUGCAGGCAGAGCCUGCAUAAUUUGUGGGGGGAAAAUGUGGAGCUCCAUUUCUCCAAGCAAAAGGAAAGUUUCAUUAAAAGUACUAAAUAGGCCAGGCAUGGCGGCUCACGCCUGUAAUCCCAGCACUUUGGGAAGCUGAGGUGGGCAGAUAGCUUGAGCUCAGGUGUUUGAGACCAGCCUGGCUAAAAUGGUGAAACCCCAUCUCUACCACAAAUACAAAAAUCAGCCGGGCAUGGUGGUGUGUACCUGUGGUCCCAGCUACUCGGGAGAACGAGGCAGGAAGAUUGCUUCAGCCUGGGAGGCAGAGGUUGCAGUGAGCCAAGAUUGCACCACUGCACUCCAACUUGGAUGACAGAGUAAGACCCCGUCUCAAAAAAAAAAAAAUUGUGCUAAAUAUAAAGCUUCUUUAUUCCAUGUUUUCUCUCUCU